UACGUAGGGUGCGAGCGUUAAUCAGAAUUACUGGGCGUAAAGCGUGCGCAGGCGGUUCGUUAUGUCCGAUGUGAAAGCCCCGAGCUCAACUUGGGAAUGGCAUUGGAAACUGGCGGGCUGGAGUGUGGCAGAGGGGGGUGGAAUUCCACGUGUAGCAGUGAAAUGCGUAGAGAUGUGGAGGAACACCGAUGGCGAAGGCAGCCCCCUGGGCCAACACUGACGCUCAGGCACGAAAGCGUGGGGAGCAAACAGG
rnacentral:rRNA from 1 species